UAUAAUAUACUAGGCUUUGUAUCAAUUCACAUUUUCCUCUGCACUAGGACAAGUAUCAACGUGAAGCUUUAGUUUUCGAAUUAUAUUUUUUCUUUAUUCGUUUUAAAAAUGAAAAAAUUAUCUCAAACCAAGAACAAAGAUCAAUUCGUCGCAAAUGUAUAUAAAAAACCUACGAAUCUCCUACCACCAUUACCGCCUCCUAACACAUCGUCUCCGCAGCCUACGGGACCAAAUAAAGUGCCCCAAACUGGUGACUCUAAUGUGAGAUAUGCGUAGAAGUGAGAUAUGAAGCCUGAAGCACGGUGAUGAACCCUUCUGUAAUCAUAUAACUGUAUAUGCUGGAAAUAAAUGCAUGAUUUAAAA